rnacentral:rRNA from 1 species
GACGACCCAUGCAAACGUUAUUCGGAUUCACUGGGCUUAAAGCGCGCGUAGGCGGUCUUGUUAGUCAGGUGUGAAAGCCCUCAGCCUAACUGAGGAAUUGCGCUUGAUACGGCAUGACUAGAGAAUGAUAGAGGUGGGUGGAACUGAUGGUGGAGCGGUGAAAUGCGUUGAUAUCAUCAGGAACACCAGUGGCGAAGGCGACCCACUGGGUCAUUUCUGACGCUGAGGUACGAAAGCUAGGGUAGCGAACGGG